rnacentral:lncRNA from 1 species
CAAAGUUGUGUUCUGCUUUUCAAUUAUACACCUGGAGAUAUUCCUGGAAUUUUCUUUAAGGUUCUUCCUUACUUGGUGAAGGUGAAAGCAGAACUUGUCAGAUCACAUAGGUUUCAAACCUUAUCUGAAGAUACAUUAUACCUUGAAAAGUUGAGAGUAACUAUAUAUCCUUUCACAUUUUCAUAUCCCUUGUACAAACAUGGCUACUGUGAACUAUGGUAGGCAAGUACUCUGUAUCACUUGAUAGCCUUCAUGAUUGUUUUGCAGAGCUAGCACAGCAGUAAGGUGAAACAGUGAAGGCAUAUAGUUUCCCACCAUUUUUGUUUCUAUUAAUUCAUUUCAUAUAACUAUCUCCUCUGUAAGGUGUGAUUGUUGGGUUCCAUCUCUUCCUACUAUGACAGUUCCCCACCUGAACAUGUUCGUCUACUGCUCAAAACAGGACUUCACCUUUGUUGCUGUUCCCAGGGACCUUCUUGCCUAGGUGGUCACAGAUGACGCCUGCAUCCUCACUGUGACGGCAGUUGUGUGUUCCAAUGUCCUGCUUAAUGCAGUCUGCCAAGGAUCUCUCACUUCCAGUACAUUUUACAUUAUCCACGUGGAUUGGGCCUUUGCCUUCCCCAAAAUAUGCCAUUGUCCUUGCUCUUGCUGGACCUUUGUAGCCAAGCUGUCGACAAACUACAGCUGCAUCCUUAUCAGACCAUCCGUCAUCACAAAUCGUGCCCCACUGACCAUUGAAAAAAAUCUCUACGCGUCCUUCCUUCUUAUUCUCACCAUCCAUCAGCCUGAUGGGAGGACCUGAGAAUAAAUUACAGCUGUUAACCCACAACAACAGAAACAAGAAUGAGUACUUUUAAGUUAUUUCCAUCACAAUGAGCACAUAGAGUCAACUGUUCAGCAAGUCUUAUGUCAGCCGUUUGUCUUUUACUUUUCCCUGGCUGACAAAAGGAAGCAGUCAGUACAAAUUAUAAAACAAUGUGAAAUAUUAUUGUAAUCCUUGUGCUUUGAACUUUACAGUGCAUACAGCAUAAUGCAUAGCUUCACCACAGUAGUAACAGAACAAUUUUCCUCAUAACGGCAAAGGCACCUGAGGUAUCUUUUAU